AUUGAACGCUGGCGGCAGGCUUAACACAUGCAAGUCGAGCGGGGGAAGGUAGCUUGCUACUGGACCUAGCGGCGGACGGGUGAGUAAUGCUUAGGAAUCUGCCUAUUAGUGGGGGACAACAUCUCGAAAGGGAUGCUAAUACCGCAUACGUCCUACGGGAGAAAGCAGGGGAUCUUCGGACCUUGCGCUAAUAGAUGAGCCUAAGUCGGAUUAGCUAGUUGGUGGGGUAAAGGCCUACCAAGGCGACGAUCUGUAGCGGGUCUGAGAGGAUGACCGGGCCCACUGGGACUGAGACACGGCCCAGACUCCGACGGGAGGCAGCAGUGGCGAAUAUUGGACAAUGGGGGGAACCCUGAUCCAGCCAUGCCGCGUGUGUGAAGAAGGCCUUAUGGUUGUAAAGCACUUUAAGCGAGGAGGAGGCUACUUUAGUUAAUACCUAGAGAUAGUGGACGUUACUCGCAGAAUAAGCACCGGCUAACUCUGUGCCAGCCGCCGCCGUAA
rnacentral:rRNA from 1 species